rnacentral:rRNA from 1 species
AGCAUGUGGUUAAUCGAAGCAACGCGAAGAACCUUACAGGUCUUGACAUCCGAUGCUAUUUCUAGAGAUAGAAAGUUACUUCGGUACAUCGGCGACAGGUGGUGCAUGGUUGUCGUCAGCUCGUGUCGUGAGAUGUUGGGUUAAGUCCCGCAACGAGCGCAACCCCUAUUGUUAGUUGCCAUCAUUCAGUUGGGCACUCUAGCGAGACUGCCGGUAAUAAACCGGAGGAAGUGGGGAUGACGUCAAAUCAUCAUGCCCCUUAUGACCUGGGCUACACACGUGCUACAAUGGUUGGUACAACGAGUUGCGAGUCGGUGACGGCGAGCUAAUCUCUUAAAGCCAAUCUCAGUUCGGAUUGUAGGCUGCAACUCGCCUACAUGAAGUCGGAAUCGCUAGUAAUCGCGGAUCAGCACGCCGCGGUGAAUACGUUCCCGGGCCUU